rnacentral:rRNA from 1 species
GUGGGGAAUUUUGGACAAUGGGCGCAAGCCUGAUCCAGCAAUGCCGCGUGCAGGAAGAAGGCCUUCGGGUUGUAAACUGCUUUUGUACGGAACGAAACGGUCCUGGUUAAUACCUGGGGCUAAUGACGGUACCGUAAGAAUAAGCACCGGCUAACUACGUGCCAGCAGCCGCGGUAAUACGUAGGGUGCGAGCGUUAAUCGGAAUUACUGGGCGUAAAGCGUGCGCAGGCGGUGCUGUAAGACAGGCGUGAAAUCCCCGGGCUCAACCUGGGAAUUGCGCUUGUGACUGCAGUGCUGGAGUACGGCAGAGGGGGAUGGAAUUCCGCGUGUAGCAGUGAAAUGCGUAGAUAUGCGGAGGAACACCGAUGGCGAAGGCAGUCCCCUGGGCAUGUACUGACGCUCAUGCACGAAAGCGUGGGGAGCAAACAGGAUUAGAUACCCUGGUAGUCC